GGGUAAAUGAUAAGUAUUGUGUAGGCGUGGUGCCUAUACCAUAUUUAUCUGCGAUUGUACCCUAUAUGCCGGAUCCUGGGGUAGUUCGUGGUGGUGAUAGCUCCAUUGAUUCUUAUAUACUCCUCCUCCCAUGUAUAGGGCAGGCAGAACAACAUUAUUACAGGGGAGUGAUUGCUAUGUUUCUCAUCUUCCUGGAUAAUAUCACUAUGCAUGGGCGUAGUCCUGUCUUGCAAUGAUUGCCAAGUAUAGUUGCACUAACUAUGAUAUGAUAGACUUUAUAGUUAAGAAUAACUUAGGAAAUAUUAUUGUAGUUUAUCCUAAUUCCAUGCUAAUGACUUGCUAGAAUAUCUGUUGAGGUGCUUAUCAUUAUUAUAUGUGGCUAGUUAUGCUGAUCAGAUUAAUUAUCUUUGUCACCAUUCAUACUUUAUCUAUAUUUUAUGUGACAUUUAUCCCUGUAUGAAAGAGAUAGAUAAAUGCUCUCUAUUACAAAUGCAAUGAUAGAUACUCAAUUCCAUAUUCCAUUCCAUAAUCAACAUUGAUAAUUAGCAAUCCCUUCCCAGUGGUAAAAAUACAAAUAACGAUACCUGGAAUACUUUCCGGUUAAAAUGCUACAUCGGUAUUAAUCUGUGCGCUUACAGAUCUCAUUUAUUAUUCAUUCAGAAGAGCAAUUGCAUAUUUCAAUACCGCAUCUCUCAUGUCAUGCUAUGGAUGACAACUUGGCUUAAGUGGCAUGAGGGAUAGGUUUGGCAUUUUUGGCGCCAUUAUCAGAACUAGAAAACUAAGUCUACUUUUGGUAGUGACGUUAAGAAUGCCCAACAUGUACCAUUGGUGUUCUAGGGUCCAGUCGAUGUGAUGGACCAUGUUAUUUUGGUUGUAAGUACUGAUGGUUUCCUGGUUUGUGUGAAUGUAAUGUGAACAUGUUAUGGUUUGUGUGGCAAUGUGACAAGUGAUGGUUUCCUGGUUUCUGUGAAUGUAAUCUGAACAUGUUAUGGUCUGAACACACAAGCAUUCAUUUUGUACACACAAUUUCCUUGCAGCAGGUAUAUUACACAUAAAAGCAUCAUCCCACCAGCUACAUUACACAUAAAAGCAUCAUCCCAGCAGGUAUAUUACACACAAAAGCAUCAUCCCAGCAGUGUGAUUGUAUCACAAACAGAAACAUCAUUCGAGCAGGUAUUAUACACAGAACAACAUUCUAAUGCCCAAAAGAGUGUUUUUUGUGUUCAGCUAAGUUGCCACCACAUCCUAGCUAAGCGCCACGGUGUCAAAACCGGUGACACGCUAGACGCCACCGUGUUAAAACCGCCCUCCCAAACCACCCUAGGGGUUAGUUGUCUGGUUUUCCAAAUUUUAGAGCGUAGGAUACCCGUUUUUAUAGUUGGGGACCUAGGUUAGACAGGUCAAUACUUUAGGGGGUAAGUAGACUUUUUCCCUUUCUCUUUUGUAUCCAUUGUUUUUUAUGCUCUUGGACUUUUUCGCUCAAUUGGAUUUCUCAUUUUGGUGUUCUUGUGCUGCAAUUUAUUACUCCAUGUUUUAGCUUUUAUAGAUAUAUAAGCUGUGUGUGUAUAUAUAUAUAUAUAUAUAUAUAUAUAUAUAUAUAUAUAUAUAUAUAUAUAUAUAUAUAUAUAUAUAUAUAUAUAUAUUAUAUAGGACGCAUUUUCCGUACUCCCGGGAGUAAUUACUCCCAUCUUCAAUAAACCACAUUACGUAUGUAUUGAUACUUGUUUAUCGGUUUGAGUAUGUUCAUAUACUUAUAUUAAGAUACUCUAGAUCUUACCAUGUGAAAAAUUUUUAAAGGAAUUCAUAUUUUUUAAUAUAUUACUAAUGUCACAGAACCGACCAAAUUAUAAGAGAUCAAGUGUAGAAACGAUCGACAAGCAAUCAAGUUUCCAAACUUGAGCCCAUAUAAUCCCGGUAGUCAAUCGAAAUCACGAAGGACUUCAAACCAACUCGCAACAAACCAAGAUCGUAAUAGUUCAACAUAAACACAGCGAAUGUUACAUAGUCAUUCAUUGCCGUCGAAGCGGCACCACAUCGGAGUAUUAAGUUAUUACAACACUUGUUUGAAGUAGCGGAAGCAAAAUAGUUACACACACUUUCCAAAUUCAGUUCUUAAGUUCGAGUUACUGCCAGAGUCUACAUCAUCCUUCCAAAAGCAUCAGAUACGAGGUUGUUAGAGAACCGUGCCCAACGGUUAGUCCUCAUCCCCAGCGGGAUGGAGACAGGUAUUGCAGAAGCUGUCAUAAAAGAUGUCAUCUGCAACAGGUGGGAAUAAACCCUGAGUACGAGAAUGUACUCAGCUAGACUUACCCGUCUAGUAAAACAUAAAAGACACCAAGGAUCAUGCAAGGCUAGGAUAACAGUAGAGCUGGUUGACUUAACAUUUUGCCAAAAGCUUUUAUUAUGACUAAUUCAUUGUAAGAGCAUCAUAUUUAUUUAUCAUCAGCCUACCACUAGAUUAGCACCUGUACUACAACACAUCACUUGAUUAUUACAAACAAUAAUAACCAUAUCCAAUUCAUCAUAUGUUCUCCUUUGCUAUCAUCAUUAUCAUGAACCAAUUUCAUUAGUGAAUGCUACGUUUGCCGCUGCUCUGUCAAGUUCUCACUAACCGGGAGAAACGGCGAUUCGAAUCGAAUUUCUAUCUAGCUAGAGGGUUAUUCCUAGCACUCACCCAAGCAUCCCCCGUCGGAGAGCUAACGGGUCACCUUUGGUACAACUCAGGAAUCGCGGCUCCGAUCAGCGCCGCACUCCCAGGGCUACCACUCUGCCAGGGAGGUCAGGAAUUUAAACUCAUCUGCCUUUGGACUUACGCCAAUGGUCCCCCACACACCGCACUUCCUCCGGUAGUGCGCACUUUAUACUUGCCGGUCUUCCGGCCUGAGUCAUACUACUCGGCUUCGCGGUCGGAACGAGUUAUCCGGCCAACUAAGUGUUAGGCAUGCGUUCAACAUGACAAGAGGACGUACAACGAUCGGUCCUUAGCUGCCACAGACGGAGUUACUACAACCUUGCAAAACUCCGCCCGGCUUAAGUCAAUUUAAUCUUCCAUCCACGAUAGCUCAUAUAGACCAUCGUGAUCCGACACAACCCUAUACCGCGCAGGUGGCAGGAAAUCACCCGACUUCUACCGGUUAAGCAAGGCUAAGCUGCUACUCGGCCCUAACUCUAUAACCAAAGUAGGGUGAAUUAUCUGGACAAGGAUGGAAUAAAGUGCAGCAAGGUUUUCAUUACAACUCCUAAACUUAAUGCAGCAAUAGAUAUAACAUAUUAAAUAAACUUUCGAAAGUAAAGGGAGACUUAGAAUGCUCCGGGGUUUGCCUUUCACGAACGAAGCUGGCUCGUGAUUUGGGCACUCAACUUCUUCUUCUUCGGGCUCCCUGAGUCCGACUUGCUGGACCUCCACCUCUUGGCUGCCCUCCUGUCCUUCGGGAUUCCCUUGCAGAUCGAAGGAGACUGCCGCGUCCGAUGCACCUAUUGCAUGCUCGGUGAAUAAGAAAGUGUGCAUACACAAGGAUGAAUGCUUGACAACAUAAGUGACUCACUGGACACUCAUUUACGGAGUACACAGUUAUAACAAGUUCACACAAGCUAACAAGUUAACUUAGCCCAAAAUGUAUCAUGAUAGCCUAUAACAGCAAGCAUCAAAUAGCAGGAUGAGCUUAGUAAACAGAUCAUAACUAUUUCCACAAAGAUUCAACAAACAUGGGUGAGGACAUUAUGGAAAGCUUAUGAAAUUGUCUACAAAUCAUCUUUAAACAUCACAGCAAGAUUCAUACAUUAAACCAGUCAUUUAAACAAAGUUCCAGGUUCUGUCCCAGAAAAACAGAGAGCACCUGUUUCUGGAACCCAACUUGGAACAGCCAUAACUUUUAAACUACUUGACAAAAUGAUCUCAAAUUUAAACCACAGAUAGUUCAAAAAGUGUACAACAACUUUGAUUUAGCCAAGUUGCUCAUAAAAUCAAAUUAUCAUUAAGCAAAAGUUAAAUUACUCCCUUGCUGUCCAGAACAGCCUUUACCCCUUUAAUUAAUUAUUGGAGGACAUAACCAACACAUAAACCAUGCCAACCACAUGGCUUAUGAGCACAAGCAUAUCACAAGAUUACCAGAACAUCAGAUGAUAACCCUCAAACAUAUACUUAACAAGGCAUUUAUUAAUUAAUUCUAGAAAGAAGCAUAAUUACAAGAUGCCUAGUCAAAUUGCUCAGAAAAAUCUACAAAAAUUACAGGAACACAAGUAUAGCAUCAAAGCAUCACCAUAAAAAUUUCACAGCAAUUGCACAUACCAAAUUAAAGAUAUGUAUUUAACAUGUGCCCAAGUGUUUAUUUCAUAAAUUCAGAAACAUGACUUAUAUGGUGUCAAACAACAGAUUUCAGAUUAUUUAUAUAUUAGGAAUACCAUAAACAUGUUUACUACCAAAGUAGAGCACCAGCAUAAACACCAAUUAUUUCAUAUAAUUUAAUCAAGGAAACAAGCCAAAUUUCAAUCAUAAAUUACAUAUCAAAGCUGCAGUACUCCAAAAAUCAUGAAAUAUUUACCAAAGCACUUUAAUACCAUACAGAGGCUACCAUAAAAUUUUCAGAGCAAACUAAGCAGUAUAACAAGAGAUAUGAGUUUAUCCAUGAAUAACAAGAUUGAAUCCUUAAUAAAUAUUUUCCCAGAAAACAUGGUUCAUUUUAUAUUUUUAUUAAAAACUAGCCAUCUCAAGAAAUACCACAAAAUUUGUUUCACAAUUUUUGGAUCUCAGAAACAGGAGAUAUGAUUUUUUGCAAGAAAGCCAAAAAUCCAGAUUUGAAUAAAAGAAAAGGAGGGAAGGAGGGUGACACUGACAGUGGACCCUGGCUGUCAGGUUCUUCUCCCUCACGGCCGAGGCGACUCUCGCCGGCGAUUUCUCCGCGACGGCAAGGUCUCCGGCCAAACCAAAGGCACUAACGUGAUCCCCAGACUCUAGCGACUCGAUUGACCCCCUUUUCCCCACGGCGGAGCCACCGGAAGGAGCUCGCCGUCGACGAUGGCGGCUCGGCGGAGGUGCUCGGCGUUACGCCGGAGCCCUCAGGCCGGUAGAGCGUGACCUAAGACCUUCGACAGCACCAGCGAACUACGGCGAAGCUUCCUAGGUACGCGGCUUGGCUUGAAACCUCGUGGAACACGCUGGCCACGAGAGCACCCAUCUCCGGCGGAAACACGGCGGCGCUGCGCAUCGUGUCCGGCGACGGAGAGUUCGGUAGAGCGUCCACCAAGUGGCGCAAACGCAAGCUAGGAACCUAAGCAACCUCUACGACCUAACCAGAGACGACGAGAGGCUUCACAGGGCUCAGCAUUGGGCUCACCGGAAAAGAUGGUCACGGCGACCCGAUUUGGGGGAAGAAGGAAAUGGUGGCUCACCGGUGGGUUUCGCGGCGAGUUAGAGGGUGGGAAGUGAAGAGCGGUUCACGACGGAGCUGUGGGUGGAGUUUGGUGGACUGAAACGCAGCGAGGAGCGCGCACGAGCUCGCCGGAGUGAGCUCGCGACGGUGAGCUCGCUGCGGGUGCUCUUCUGGCGAGAGAGGCGAGGCAGAGAGGAAGUGGACGCGUCCACUCUGCACGGGGCGACACCGUGGACUUCAUGCGUGCGUUGAGCUGACAAGCGGGGCCAGGAACGAUGUACGGACGACAAAUGUCGCCGUUGCUCUGCCGCCGGUCGGCCACGUCGGUGAGCUCCAUUCCGAUUCAGACAAAACGAUGGCCGACUGACAGAGCUACUUUGACAACGAUUUACUCCCAAACUAUGGUGAAUUAGAACAUGAGGUAGUUGACAAAGUUGGAGUACAAGCCGAGAUCAACAACUUUGUCAACUGGAGCAAAAGCCAGAUCGGCCUGGAUCGAGAGGUAUGAAGUUUUCAAAAUCGAUCGAGCAAACUGGUUUCGUUCCAGGACUUAGAAAAUUUCCUAAGUGUUGGAAACAACCCCAAUUUUGCCUUGUGGGUCACUUUUGAGCUAUUUGUGGUCAUUUUCGUGAGAUGGCCAUAAAACAACUUUUGUUCCUUAUAAAAUGUGCUACAACUUUGCUGUAGAAAGUUUUGACAUGCAAACAUUUUAUGAAACACUUUUUAAAAGCCUAAACAAAAGAGGUUUUUAGGGCCUAUUUACAUAAGUAUGACUUAAGUGAUUAUUUUGGAGAAGUGGUCCAUAUGAACAUUGUUCCCAAAGUUAAGUUAAGCAUAGAUAAACUAAUUACCAAGGCAUAGAGCACAAACACAAGCAUGGUUCACUCAAACAUAAGCAUAGGAAGCCUAUUUAAGCAAUUUAAAUCACAUUUUGCAUAGAAUGACAUGGCUCAAGAUAGAUGAUGAUCAUGAUAUGCUUUGAGUAGAUGAUGAUGCUCAUGCUAUGCACAUGAUUAAUGUAACCAUAACACUGGGGUGUUACAACCCUCCCCCCUUACAAAAAAUCUCGUCCCGAGAUUUGAAGGCUUACUGAUUUUCGAAGAAGGUUUUGUAAACUUCUUUUAAAUAAUCCUCCGUCUCCCAAGUGGCAUCUUCCUCCCCGUGGUUACUCCACAACACUUUGUAGAACUUAACCACACGAUUACGUGUCUCCCAUUCCUUGCUAUCAAGAAUCGCUACGGGUUUUUCUUCAUACACCAAGUCGGACUUCAACUUGAUAUCUCGAACUUCCACUCGUUCCUCCGGUACACGAAGGCACUUCUUCAAUUGUGAUACGUGGAAGACAGGGAAAAUAGCUCGAAGCGCAACUAGGAGUUGAACUUUGUACGCCACAUUCCCUUUCUUUUCGAGAAUCCGAUAAGGUCCCACAUAACGAGGUGUAAGCUUUCGCUUGACUCCGAACCUUUGUACACCCUUCAUCGGAGACACCUUGAUAUACACAUGGUCACCAACUGAAAACUCAAUCGGCUUCCUUCUUUUGUCAGCAUAACUUUUCUGACGAGCUUGAGCAGCUUCCAGAUGUUGCUGGAUGGUACGGACUUUCUGCUCUGCUUCGUUUACGAAAUCGAUGCCAUAAUACCUUCGCUCUCCGGCUUCUACCCAAUUCAACGGGGUUCGACACUUUCGACCGUACAAGGCUUCAAAUGGAGCCAUUUUGAUACUCUCCUGAUAACUAUUGUUGUAGGAGAACUCAGCCAAUGGCAACCACUUAACCCAAGAACCUUUUGACGAGAGAGCACAUGCCCUCAACAUGUCUUCUAGGAUUUGGUUAACCCGUUCAGUCUGACCAGCUGUUUGGGGAUGAUAAGCAGAGCUACGGACUAAAUGAGUACCAAUCUGCUCAUGCAGACACUCCCAAAAACGAGCAAUGAACUGCGGUCCACGAUCGGAUACAAUAGUUCGAGGCACACCAUACUGACGAACAAUGUGCUCAAAAUACAGUUCUGCAUAUUGAUGUGGACGAUAGUCAGUUCGAACCGGAAUAAAUCGAGCAACCUUGGUCAAACGAUCUACAAUCACCCAGAUGGAGUCAUAACCCUUAACAGAAGUUGGGAGUCCACUGAUGAAAUCCAUGCUGACUUCUUCCCAUUUCCAACCAGGAAUUGACAAGGGUUGAAGCAAACCAGCUUUCAUGUGAACAGCCUUCACACGACAACAAUUGUCGCAACGUGCGACAAAAGCAGCAAUCUCCUUUUUCAUCUUUGUCCACCAAAACAAAGGUUUCAGAUCCUGAUACAUCUUGCUACUACCAGGAUGGAUAGACAAUUUGGAUGAAUGAGCUUCUGACAAGAUCUGAUUUCGUAGCUCGCGGUCUUUUGGGACCACUAGUCGAUCUUUGAACCAAAGAAUUCCGUUCUCAUCGACUCGGAAAUGCUUGGUUUCUUCUUCUUUCAUUUUUCUCUUUAUGUGAUAGAUGCCUACAUCUGUCUGCUGCAAUUCGAUAACUCGAUUGCGAAGAGUACUCUCCAGAGAAAUCUGGUUGAGCACAAGUGGAUGCAUAAGAUGUGAUAACAACGGAUCUUCCACUUGGAUUGAGUGACAGUGCGCUUUCCGACUCAAGACAUCCGCUACCACGUUCGCCUUGCCCGGAUGAUAGUGCACUUGUAGAUUAUAAUCUUUAAUCAACUCAAGCCACCUUCGCUGCCGCAUGUUCAAUUCAGGUUGAGUGAAGAUAUACUUGAGGCUCUUAUGAUCGGUGUAGAUAUUACACAGAUUACCCAACAGAUAGUGCCUCCAGAUUUUCAAGGCAUGAACAACUACUGCCAAUUCUAAAUCAUGAGUAGGGUAAUUGACCUCAUGCUUUCGAAGUUGGCGCGAGGCAUACGCGAUAACGCGACCUUCCUGCAUCAACACACAGCCUAAACCAAUGCCUGACGCGUCACAAAAGACAUCGAAGGGCUUUUCGAUAUCUGGUUGAGCUAGGACAGGAGCUGAUGUCAGCAAUGUCCUCAACUUGUGGAAUGCCUCUUCACACUCAGGCGUCCACAGAAACUUCUCAUCUUUCUCAAGUAGCCGAGUCAUAGGCUUGGAUAUUUUUGAGAAUUUGGGAAUGAAUCGACGAUAAUAUCCAGCCAGACCUAGAAAACUUCGAACCUCGUGGACCGAAGUUGGAACUUUCCAAUCCAGCACUUCUUGCACCUUAGCCGGAUCCACCGAUAUGCCUUCUGUUGACACUAGCUAACACCACUUAGAUACUAGGUUGUCAUCCCUAGCAUGGCGCCAGAGUGUACAAAGGUAUUUAUAAAUGUAAAGGCUCUCUAGAAAAUAAUUUAUUCUAUCCGCAAGCGCACAGAUAAAACACCUCAUUGUAGCAUUUCACCAGGAUAAGUAUUCCAGGUAUCGUUAUUUAUAAUUUUGCUCAAGGGAUCUAAGGAAAUGAAAUUAAAAUAAAAGGGGGAAAAAUCUAUCAAGGCAUAGACUAGAGAUAAACUUGCAAGAACAUGAUUACUAAUGAGAAACUCGUCACACAGUCACAUACUUUAGCAGGGGGUAAACCAUAAAGAUAAUGAUAAUAAAGUAUAAGUUCAUGGGUAGAUAACACAGCGAUUAGAAAAUAGACUACUCCUCAUAUAUGUAGGUGAUGUCGGAUUAGCUAGAGAAUGGAUUCUAAGUUAUCUACUAACUACUAAGUCAUAAUCUACUCUAGUUAUCUACAAGAUCAUAUAUAGCAUAAAAGACUCUUCAUUCAUGUAUAAGGAACAUUGAUAAAGUAAAUCAGAGCAUCGCAUGACUUACUCCACAAUACCGGUUCUGCCUGUCCUAUCAACGGACGGUGGACUAUAUAAGAAUCAACGAAGCUGUCACUAUCGCGAACUACCACACGACCCGGCCAUUAGGAUACAUUUGCAGAUAAAUAACAUCUAAGCACCACUCUUACAUGUGAUCUAUCACCUAACUCCCUCGCGUCAAGAGCUAAGCGCUUUGCAAACUUAUACAUAAACUCAUUAUCAAUUAGAACUAUAUCAAAUAUAGAACUAGAGCAAACUAAGAACAUAAUAAUUAGAGACAUAAUGCAAUUAGAACAAUAGAAUUAGAGAAAGAUAUGAAUAAUACCAAUCUUUAUUACCGAAGAUCCGAAUCCAGAGCGUAGUGCUCUACUUCUCUAAUUGCUAUCUAAUCAACCUCUAAACUUGAAGGAUUAGGGAGUAGCUAAUUCUAAUUCUCUGUGGGAGAGAGAUCUAAACCCUAACUUUGAUGGCUACCUCUGAAUAAUGAUUUCUCCUCUCUUCCUCCAGGGGCCAGGGGGUCUGGUUUUAUAGUCCCCUCAAGUGAACGUGAGCCAUUGGAUCAAACUGACAUAGAUUGUAUGGUUUAGAUUGAUCCUUUAGGUUGGUGGAGUCUUGCCCCGAAGGAGAGUCCUGGUUGGCUUCCUGGCCAGGGCGGGCGCCCAAGGGGGGUGGGCGGGCGCCCAGCCCCCGAGCCCGUAUCGUCUCCCGUUCGUUCCCGUGGCUUCUGGAUCCUUCUAGAUUGAGGAAAAUUGCGCGGCACGUAAUUAUCUCAUUGUAAACAUGACAUGUGGGCCUUCUCUCCAUAUUUUCUGAUAAACCCCUGCAGAAAUAGAUAAACACCAAAACUCGUGGAAUUCUGUCAGAUAAAACCCUAAUUCUAGAUGUUUGUUUCAUAUCGAUCCUUUUUCAUGUUUAUUUGAUUAUUAAUUUUAGUACUUAAGGACCGUCAACAAACUCCCCCAAGCUUACCCUUUGCUCGUCCCUGAGCAAACAGCUAAACUCAGACGGAUCAGGAGUUGCUUCGAUGUUUUCUUUCCUGACAGGCACACAUGCUUUUACAUAAAAAUUCUUCCAGAUUAAAGUGAAGUGUUAUGAAGUUUAGUACCUGCACUUAAGUCUUAAGUAAUCGAAAGACAAAAUAGUUAAGUCAAGCACUAUCCCUCUUGUCUAUACUUCACCUUUGUUCUAGAGUUUUUCAUAAGUUUUCAAAAUAAAACUCAGAGUUCCCAGCAAUGAUUCUCUCAAGUCUCUCUAUAUGUAGUAUUUGUGGAUCCUUACCAUAAUGUCACUUACCUAUAGCUAAUGGAAUGUUUAAGUGGAGCUCAUAGGAGUGGAAAACAGCUCAUACAUAUGUUGUCUAAUCGAGCCAUGGAUCCAAAGGAACUCAGCAUAUAAUUAAAUCAAGAUGUACAUGUGUGAUGGAGUAAAUGAUAGUGAUGGUGAAAAUGCAUAAGUGAUAAUAAAAUUUGGUUCUCAUUGCUCCUCAUAUUGCUAUCUCUCCUUUUCUUUGAUCUUUGCUUUGGGAGAACAUGGGCUAUCUCUUUUUCUUUCUUUCUUUUUUUUUCAGGUGGGUAGUAGAUACCCCUAAUUCUACUGUCGGACACUUGUCCAUUUUUUUCGCUCAAGUGGGCAUUUUUGUACCCCUAAUUCUACUUCGGACACUUGUCCAUUUUUACCUCUCGUCUCACUCUUUUUCUUUCUUUUCCGAGGUUCCGGGCACUUGCCCCUUUUUAUUUCCUCGCAUAUUUUUGCAUAACCCAUGCCUCUUCUGUAUUGAAUCUUUUUAGAGAGAGAGAAUAACAAAACUCGGGACAGUGAGUGAUAAUAUUUGUUAGCAAUUUUAAUGAUUGAUGAUGAAUGCUGUGGUAGAUGUGUGCAAGUGAAUAUCUUAAUUUAACCACAUGAAAAGCUCCUAAGGGUCAACACAGCUCGAUCAAACUCAAUGUAAAUAUAGUAAAAGAUGUUAUAGCAAGUAUGGCUGUGGUAGGUAGUUUGUUAUGCUAGGAACUCAUCAUGUGAUUUGUAAGUUUUCAAAAUAAAUCUCCAGAAUUUAGUGUAGUAUGAACAAGAUAAACAGUAGCUCAACUAUAUAUCAUGCCUUUCUCUUACCUAGACUUUAGUUUUAUGCUUCCCAUAGAUAGUAAUUUUAGUUUUAGUAAUUCCUGUAAGAAUUCUAAUAUAAAAGCUAGGUACUUGUAAGUAAGCGAACAGAGCAACUGUUCAUCAUUUCCAUCAUGCAUAUUUUUGGUCUUUUUAUUUUUUUUAGAGAUUAAACUUAGCAGAUAAAUAAAGCACACUUAUCUACACACUCUUUUUAUUUUGUUUUCAUGUUUAUAAAGUGCAGUAAAUGAAAGCAAGAAAAUAUUUAUUUAGUUUUCUAAGUUUUUCCUUUUAAGAUAAAUUAAAUACUAAGACAGAAUAGAAUAAAUAAGAAGAGUAAAUAAAAACUUACUUGAUAAAUUUGGGAGGAACUCCCCCAAGCUGGAUGUUGACGUCGGUCCUACCCGAUGUUCCAAAACCGCAUCAUAGUUGUGAUGUUGUCAUUCAUUGUUGUUGUAUCUUGUCUCAGCUCUUCUACUGCAGUGGCAUGGUCUUGGUUCCAUUUUUGUUGUUCUUCCAGGAGUCUUCCAUGUUCUGCUUGCAUGUUCUGGAUGUCGAAGGGGGUGUUGUCGGUACGAGUGAAGAAAGCACCGGCCUCUUGAUAGUAAUCAUUCGUGAAGGCGUAGGAGGCGUCGGAGUAUCGUCCUGCAUCAAAUUGGGGCGGAGGUCUGGAUCCUGAAGCUCCAUAUGGAUCAGUGGAAUACCUGCCCGUAUGAAAAGGCGGGUUUGUCCACUGGUGAUCUUGGCUCUCCGGCCAUGUCUCCUCUGUUGGCUCUUGUGGUUGCGCAUGACGAGCCCAUGGGUCUCGAUGGACUCGUGGAUUGUAAUCGCAAUAAUGCAGGUGCGCUGCUUCUUCUGGUCCAGGGUCAGCUCCAUACCAAGUGCGUUCUCGGUGAGUGGUUAUCCUUUCAGAUGCCACUCGCUGUGGAGUUCUCUGGUUCACUGGUGUUGCUGCAAUCUCAAUCAAAAAGUUUUGCACAGCGUAGAGGCCAAGGUUCGGGUUAGGUAACCGAAUCUUGCCUUUAUCAUCAUACAGCAUAUACAUUAUAUUUCCCUCUUUCUUUAACAUCCGAUCUUGUCUAAAUGUGUCAUAGCCAUGAUAAAUUCUUAAUUCUUCUAUGAAGUCCAACGAUGAGUUUUCUAGUAAGUGAAGAUUAGUGGCUAGACGAGUGAUAAGUGAAGUACAUCCUACUGGUCCCUGCAGACUAGGUAUACUAAGCCAAUG
rnacentral:lncRNA from 1 species